rnacentral:rRNA from 1 species
GAUGAACGCUAGCGGCAGGCCUAAUACAUGCAAGUCGAGGGGCAGCAUAGUAGCAAUACUGAUGGCGACCGGCGCACGGGUGCGUAACGCGUAUGCAACCUACCUUUUACUGGGGGAUAGCCCGGAGAAAUUCGGAUUAACACCGCAUAAUAAGUUUUAUUGGCAUCAAUGAGAUUUUAAAUAUUUAUAGGUAAAAGAUGGGCAUGCGUCCAAUUAGCUAGUUGGUAGUGUAACGGACUACCAAGGCUAUGAUUGGUAGGGGUUCUGAGAGGAAGGUCCCCCACACUGGUACUGAGAUACGGACCAGACUCCUACGGGAGGCAGCAGUAGGGAAUAUUGGGCAAUGGACGAGAGUCUGACCCAGCCAUGCCGCGUGCAGGAUGAAGGCCUUCUGGGUUGUAAACUGCUUUUGAUCGGGAACAAAGAGGCCAUGCGUGGCAAGUUGAGUGUACCGAUAGAAUAAGCACCGGCUAACUCCGUGCCAGCAGCCGCGGUAAUACGGAGGGUGCAAGCGUUGUCCGGAUUUAUUGGGUUUAAAGGGUGCGUAGGCGGCCCUGUAAGUCAGUGGUGAAAUACUGCAGCUUAACUGUAGCAUUGCCAUUGAUACUGUAGGGCUUGAGUACAGAUGAGGUAGGCGGAAUUGAUGGUGUAGCGGUGAAAUGCAUAGAUACCAUCAAGAACACCGAUUGCGAAGGCAGCUUACUAAGCUGUAACUGACGCUGAGGCACGAAAGCGUGGGGAUCGAACAGGAUUAGAUACCCUGGUAGUCCACGCUGUAAACGAUGAUUACUCGAUGUUCGCGAUAUACUGUGAGCGUCCAAGCGAAAGCGUUAAGUAAUCC